UUCGUGAGACACCCUGCAAACUAUACAUUGUUAAGGUGAACAGUUCCCAGAGUAUUCACCCAAAACUGCAAAGUCCUUACAGUACUGUUAUCUGACAUACAAAAUAUUUACUUGAAUUUUCCUUCUAUGCUUGAUACAACAUAAUAUUGUCAAAAAGGGAAAAAAUUCAUGAUGUUCUGCGAAUCUUGCAGAACAUCAUCAGGAAUUUUUCCUUUUUGAUCACAUUUGCUCUAUAUAAAACUACUCGUUUAUGACAGGCCUAUACGUUUGCUUGUAACCUCCUUUGCUUGUAAUUAAAGCCUAACCUCGAAUCUCCGUAAUAGAAAUUUCAAUAAUAGUGAUAGUUACAGUCCCAGCAUAUGCCGCUGCCUGUAUGUAUUUACCUAGUAAUAUUACUCAUUACGUAACUCCCUUUUUAUUUAAAUAGUNNNNNAAAUAGUGAACUCGAACAAUGUAUUUGGUGACAUGGAACUGAAUGUAUAACUACCUGAAAAUAGGCAGAAGCCCGC
rnacentral:lncRNA from 1 species